AUUUCACUGCUGCAAAGAACUUAAGUGGGGCUCUUCAAAGUGACGGAUGCCCUGCUGUACCGAGACGCACUCAACAGGAGCAACUGCAACAUUGGCAGAGAAAUAGGAGGAUGCUGAUUGGAGCUCAUCAAUUCAAGGUUAGCAAUGGGGAUUGCAUAUUCACAGAAAAGUUAAAGUUCUAUGAAGUGAAUGAUAAGGCCUUAGAUGCAAAAUUAAUUAUCUUUAAGAAAAAGAGAAGAAAGAAUUAUUGAUGAAUAAAAUGUCAUAGACAG